ensembl:snRNA
GUAUUGUAUGAUGAGCAAGGCUAGCACUUCCCUUAACAAGGAUGGCAGUGGUUCCAGUGACCUAUAAAAAACAUAUAUGGUUAAGAAAUUACCAACUACUUUGUGGUAUCUAACCAUAAUUUUUA